CCAACAUAAACUUUCAAGAUGAUCCCUAGCAGGAUUAAAGUCCUCCCCGAGCAGGCAGAGGCAAAGCUAUUCAGCAAAACAAGGUCAUGCUGCCUUUUUUUUUGGUAAGCACAGGAAUCAACAAAGCGCUGUUAUAUAACUUCUAUUUAUAUCCCACUUGCUCACUAGCUGCAGGCACACAAGAGUGGCUGAGAAGGGAAUUUAAUGAGCUCUCAGGGCUUGCUCACCUUCCAGAGCGGGUAGGAGCCAGCUUGUUUUUGAAGUGCGUCAGCAAAUGAAACUGGUGGUGGGUGGGUGGUUUGGGUAGGUGGACUGACUUGUUGCUAUGGUUUUCUUUAAUUCCUCUGUCUCUCAA
ensembl:misc_RNA